GCAAGUAGAACGCUGAAGAGAGGAGCUUGCUCUUCUUGGAUGAGUUGCGAACGGGUGAGUAACGCGUAGGUAACCUGCCUUGUAGCGGGGGAUAACUAUUGGAAACGAUAGCUAAUACCGCAUAACAAUGGGUGACACAUGUCAUUUAUUUGAAAGGGGCAAUUGCUCCACUACAGGAUGGACCUGCGUUGUAUUAGCUAGUAGGUGAGGUAACGGCUCACCUAGGCGACGAUACAUAGCCGACCUGAGAGGGUGAUCGGCCACACUGGGACUGAGACACGGCCCAGACUCCUACGGGAGGCAGCAGUAGGGAAUCUUCGGCAAUGGGGGCAACCCUGACCGAGCAACGCCGCGUGAGUGAAGAAGGUUUUCGGAUCGUAAAGCUCUGUUGUAAGUCAAGAACGAGUGUGAGAGUGGAAAGUUCACACUGUGACGGUAGCUUACCAGAAAGGGACGGCUAACUACGUGCCAGCAGCCGCGGUAAUACGUAGGUCCCGAGCGUUGUCCGGAUUUAUUGGGCGUAAAGCGAGCGCAGGCGGUUUGAUAAGUCUGAAGUUAAAGGCUGUGGCUCAACCAUAGUUCGCUUUGGAAACUGUCAAACUUGAGUGCAGAAGGGGAGAGUGGAAUUCCAUGUGUAGCGGUGAAAUGCGUAGAUAUAUGGAGGAACACCGGUGGCGAAAGCGGCUCUCUGGUCUGUAACUGACGCUGAGGCUCGAAAGCGUGGGGAGCGAACAGGAUUAGAUACCCUGGUAGUCCACGCCGUAAACGAUGAGUGCUAGGUGUUGGAUCCUUUCCGGGAUUCAGUGCCGCAGCUAACGCAUUAAGCACUCCGCCUGGGGAGUACGACCGCAAGGUUGAAACUCAAAGGAAUUGACGGGGGCCCGCACAAGCGGUGGAGCAUGUGGUUUAAUUCGAAGCAACGCGAAG
rnacentral:rRNA from 1 species